AGAGACUCAAAACCCUCAAAUUAACAACACCAAUAUUGACGUCACCACCGGCUGAGAGUAGCUUAACUGACAUACUGGUGAGGAAACCUUCGUCUUCUUCGUCUCCAGGUGCAAACAGUAAACAAGCCGUGUGAAAAUUUCAUCCAGACUGGGCAUCAAAAACUGACAUUCGCUACCAGGUUGAAGCUGAACCAUAAUUUAUGCUUAUUUCCCGUACAAAGAGAAAUAUUUUGCAACUUCAUGUCACUAAAUAGUAUGCUGAUGGAAUGAUUUUUAUUUU